ensembl:lncRNA
GGUCCUCCUGUCUCCUCUGUACAGUACUGACUGGGUCCUCCUGUCUCCUCUGUACAGUACUGACUGGGUCCUCCUGUCUCCUCUGUACAGUACUGACUGGGUCCAUCUGUCUCCUCUGUACAGUACUGACUGGGUUCUCUUUUGUCUCCUCAGUCAUGCUGUCUUGGAGCAGGUGUCACUGUGUUCUGCUGUUACAGCUGCUGACAGUCAUAGCUGGCUCUUUUCCUUCAGUAAAGGUGAAUCUUCAUGAUGCUGCUACUCUCCACUGCACUCAGACGUGUUCUGGUCUGGUCACAUGGACUUUAUAUCAUAAACCACAUGACAUUCUGGCUCAGUGUAACCAGACAUCCUGCCAGUCAAAGGAGGGAUUUCACAUGUCCCAUGAUCAGUACCUGAAGGGAGAUCUCUCCCUCACCAUCACUGAUGCUGAUUACACUAAGAGGACCUGGUACACCUGCGCCUGUAAUGGUAAAGACAUCUGUGAUGUGAGUCUGCAGAUAGAGGCCUGUAAUUCUUCAGUUCAGAUUAAGCCUGGUGAACCUCUGGUGCUGGAUUUGCUCAUAUCAGAGUCAGUUGAGGUGAUUUAUAACAGCACAGGUGCAGCUGCUCCCUCUAGUGGACAGAUCUGCACAGUGGCUGGACACUCACUGAAGUGUAAACCUGAAUACACUCGGAGAGUGUCGCUCAUCUCUGCUGUGGAGCUGAGAGGAACCGCACCAUCUGAUAGUGGAGUUUACAGCAUCAGAGACACUAAGAAUGAAGAGAUUAUUCAGACAUACACAGUUACUGUGGAAGAAGUCCAGCCGUGUCCAGAUCAGAGCUCCACAGUGACGGUGUUGACGGUGCUCCUGGCUCUGACGGGGGCGGGGCUUGUGGCAGCAGUGCUGGUGAUUGUGCAGCUGAGGAAAAAAAUCAGCAGUGAAUGAAGACUGUAACCAUGACAGCAGAGGAGUUAAUAUGAAUGGACUAAACCACUCAGAUGAAGAGCAGAGGUGAUCUCCCAGUAAUAACCAUGAGGAAGUCUAAAAGAGAUGAUGAAUUAUUUGGCUCUCUUGUACACACAAACGUAUGUACCCACACUGCCUUUCUCUGUACCAUUCUGGGGUCAGAGAUCAGUGUAUGUUUGAUCAUACCUGAUCAGUUUUAUGAUGUUAGCAUUCUUGAACUCACCUGGUAGAGCAGGUACAGUAAGAUACAUCUCCAGAAUCAUGGUUUGAUCCUCAGAGAGGACACAUGAUGUCAUACUGAUAAAUAUGCAUCAGUCACUAUAAGAGCACCUGCCCAGUACUGUAAAUGUAAUGGAAAGAUGUUUAUGUAAAAAUUUAAUAUAAAGAUGUUUAUGUAAAUAUUAUUAUGUGAUCCUGUGAUGUAAUUUAAUGCACAUGUAAAUAUUUUUGUGUCAAGUCAUGGAAAAACAGGUAUUUAUUUCUGUAGCAUCUUUUAAAUUUUAUUUGCCUUUUAUUUAAGAGUCUCCCCUUAUUGUCCAGGUUAUAUUUUCAAGAGUUCACUUGUGGUCUUGGUGAUUAUGGUCAGUUGUUGUGGUUGGUUUUUCCAAUGCUGUAAUGCUGCAUUAAUUUCAAAGCAUUCUGCUCAAUAAGUAGCUAAGGUUUGCCUGCCCAGGUAAAGCAAUCUCCAAUAUUAAGUAAACCAGACAUGUAUUAUGGAAACAGACCUGCUUCAUGUCAUUUCUUUUUGAGAAAGGUUGACAGACCCUGUGAUGUUUACUGUUUUUAUCAGCUGGCUAUUAUUAAAUGCAGUUGCUAGUUAACAGUGUCUGUGGAGUAAUCUGUCUAAGGGCAAGAUCAAUUCACUAGAGUUAGAUCGGAGAUGCAUAUGGAUAACAAGAUGAAUCAACAGGCAUUAAGUAACUAGAAAGUAAAGAUUGUAAACAAACAGUGAGUUGUAUUAGAAUCAGUAGAGUUCUCAUGAAGUGCAGAUAUGUGCUUAACUACGUUUAUUUUAUGAGUGUAAUAAGCUGAACAUUUGACAAAUUUUAUGAUUGUACCAUAAACCUUUAAGGAUCAGUAUCAAAAUAAAUGUUUCCAAAGGGAGGAUGAAGGCAUUAAUGAAAGGAGAGGAGAGAAGGAGUACAGAGACUGGUGCUGCUGGUAUAAUAUGUAGUUUGGAUGUCACGGAAUGCUCGCCUCCCGCGAGUCACGUGGUUUGGCCCGCCACGUGCAGUGGGAGGAUCCUCAUUUGUGGCCACACCUGCACCUCAUUUGUUUAUAUGUAUUUAAACCCCCCGUCAUAGUGUGCAAGAUCGUUGGUCAUUGUGGAUGUAACGUCUUAAUGUCAUGGUUAAUGGUCUUGUCAUCGGUAAACGUAUGCGUGUUUAUUGUGCUUGUUUCAUGUUAACCGUUACAGGUUCAUGUUUUUCGUGUGUAAUAUUUGAGUGCCGUUAUCGUUCUGUGUAACUAAAUGUACGUCCCAGUCACUGGAGUCUGUGUGUCCUGUAGCACUCGGGCCACCACGCGUUACAUUGGAGCUUGAGGUCCACUGUUGAGUGUCUUUGCCAAGCCUGGUGGCUGUAGCCUUCAAAUUCAGGGAGAUAAAAUGUCAUCAGUACAAAAUGCAAUUUGCUGGCAGGAGUUGCUUAAUGUUUAUCUUAAAAUUUCUAAUUUUUUAAUUUUUCAUCUGUCAGCACUACUUUGAGCCAAUGAUGUUUUAAACUUUGCUCAUGAAUAUUAAUGAGGUGUUUUGCUCUGUGCCUCUGCAAAUCCAACUGCUUCUCUUGCAGUGCCUUAUGGGUAAAAACCUGCCAUGUGUUUUUUUUUUUGUUGUUGUUUUUUUUUUUAAAUCUCAGACAUAUAAGAUGUAAUGCGUUUAUUUUGAAAUACAAAAAGAAAUCAUGUUUUAUGGAACUUUUUGUUUAAAUGUAUUACUGUAUUUUGAUGCCUAAUGCAUUGUUACCAAAAUACAAUAUUUUAAAUGCAUCUAUACUCUGUUUAUCCUGAAACUGUC